rnacentral:pre_miRNA from 7 species
AGUGUCUGUUCAUGUGACCCGUGGACUUCCCUUUGUCAUCCUAUGCCUGAGAAUAUAUGAAGGGGGCUGGGAAGGCAAAGGGACGUUCAACUGUCAUCAUCGGC